GAUGAACGCUGGCGGCGUGCCUAAUACAUGCAAGUCGAGCGAACAGACGAGGAGCUUUCUCCUCUGACGUUAGCGGCGGACGGGUGAGUAACACGUGGAUAACCUACCUAUAAGACUGGGAUAACUUCGGGAAACCGGAGCUAAUACCGGAUAAUAUAUUGAACCGCAUGGUUCAAUAGUGAAAGACGGUUUUGCUGUCACUUAUAGAUGGAUCCGCGCCGCAUUAGCUAGUUGGUAAGGUAACGGCUUACCAAGGCAACGAUGCGUAGCCGACCUGAGAGGGUGAUCGGCCACACUGGAACUGAGACACGGUCCAGACUCCUACGGGAGGCAGCAGUAGGGAAUAUUCCGCAAUGGGCGAAAGCCUGACGGAGCAACGCCGCGUGAAUGAUGAAGGUCUUCGGAUCGUAAAGCUCUGUUAUUAGGGAAGAACAAAUGUGUAAGUAACUAUGCACGUCUUGACGGUACCUAAUCAGAAAGCAACGGCUAACUACGUG
rnacentral:rRNA from 1 species